AUUUUCCUGCCCUGUUAGUGAUAAGUGGAAAUGUUGAUCCUGCAAAUUAGAUCUUUUGGGAGCCUGUGUAAAGAGUACGGUGAGCAUGUCUUCUAUUCUAAAGGAAGAAAGCCUAAAGUCUCUUUCAGGGCACCCACCUGUUGUACAGGCGGAUCUAAUUCUCUCCUUACACGGCAGGGCGGGGUUUUU
rnacentral:other from 1 species